rnacentral:rRNA from 1 species
AUUGAACGCUGGCGGCAGGCCUAACACAUGCAAGUCGAGCGGAUGAAGGGAGCUUGCUCCUGGAUUCAGCGGCGGACGGGUGAGUAAUGCCUAGGAAUCUGCCCGGUAGUGGGGGAUAACGUCCGGAAACGGGCGCUAAUACCGCAUACGUCCUGAGGGAGAAAGUGGGGGAUCUUCGGACCUCACGCUAUCAGAUGAGCCUAGGUCGGAUUAGCUAGUUGGUGGGGUAAAGGCCUACCAAGGCGACGAUCCGUAACUGGUCUGAGAGGAUGAUCAGUCACACCGGAACUGAGACACGGUCCAGACUCCUACGGGAGGCAGCAGUGGGGAAUAUUGGACAAUGGGCGAAAGCCUGAUCCAGCCAUGCCGCGUGUGUGAAGAAGGUCUUCGGAUUGUAAAGCACUUUAAGUUGGGAGGAAGGGCAGUAAGUUAAUACCUUGCUGUUUUGACGUUACCAACAGAAUAAGCACCGGCUAACUUCGUG